GACGAACGCUGGCGGCGUGCUUAACACAUGCAAGUCGAACGGAAAGGCCCUGCUUUUGUGGGUUGCUCGAGUGGCGAACGGGUGAGUAACACGUGAGUAACCUGCCCUUGACUUUGGGAUAACUUCAGGAAACUGGGGCUAUUACCGGAUAGGAGCUCCUGCUGCAUGGUGGGGGUUGGAAAGUUUCGGCGGUUGGGGCUGUACUCGCGGCUUAUCAGCUUGUUGGUGGGGUAGUGGCUUACCAAGGCUUUGACGGGUAGCCGGCCUGAGAGGGUGACCGGCCACAUUGGGACUGCGAUACGGCCCAGACUCCUACGGGAGGCAGCAGUGGGGAAUAUUGCACAAUGGGCGGAAGCCUGAUGCAGCAACGCCGCGUGCGGGAUGACGGCCUUCGGGUUGUAAACCGCUUUCGCCUGUGACGAAGCGUGAGUGACGGUAAUGGGUAAAGAAGCACCGGCUAACUACGUG
rnacentral:rRNA from 1 species